rnacentral:misc_RNA from 1 species
GAAAUGCGAUAAGUAAUGUGAAUUGCAGAAUUCAGUGAAUCAUCGAAUCUUUGAACGCACCUUGCGCUCCUUGGUAUUCCGAGGAGCAUGCCUGUUUGAGUGUCAUUAAAUUCUCAGCUAUACAAGUUUUUUCUAGAACAUGUGUAGCUUGGAUCUUGGGAUUUGCGGGCUUUCACAAGUCGGCUAUCCUUAAAUGCAUUGGCAGAGCUUUUGCCGCUAAACUCUAGUGUGAUAAUUAUCUACGCUAUUGUAAGGCGACAUGAAUAGAGCUAUGCUUCUAAUCGUCUUCACAGACAACAUUUGACAAUCUGACCUCAAAUCAGGUAGGAUUACCCGCUGAACUUAAGC